UGAUGAGGCACACCUGAAGUGAAUAAAACCUUGUCACAGUCACCAUUAAAUCCUGAGCAUGCCUCUCCUUGAGAGACUGGUCUCUUUUCCCUUAUGCAUGCAUGGUGGUAUCUUUGUAGGUCCAAGAGGGGAGCAGGGAAGGAUUACCCUAUGUCUUAGGAUUACCCUAUUACCCUACCCUAUGUCACUGGACCUAUAGCCCAGUGCAGGAAGCACAUGUCAUCACCAUCAGUGUGCCUUUCAAAGGCAGCAGUUCCAGGGAAGCAGAGCUGCUACAAAGAAGCCUCCAUCCCUUGCACCCUGGUCUGAAGAGGGAAGCAAGUGUCUCGCUGCCUUCAUGAUUUCCUGUCACAUCUAGGACACCAGAGGCUUGAACCCAAGGCUCGGAUUUGAGCUCCGAGGUCAGCACCCACAUUGCAGUACUACAUAGAGGGAGAAAUAGAGGAGGAGAUGGGGAGGUGGAGGAAUGCCAGAAGAACUGUUGCUGGGACAGCGCAAUGACUGAUGCUUAUAUAGCCUCAUAAUGAUGAUUAACAGGACCAAAUGAUUAGGCUACUCCCAAACCUAUUUUUGCAACUUCACAUUGGGUUUUUUAUGUUAAAUUAAAAGCCUCUCUGAGACCUGAUGCCACA